rnacentral:misc_RNA from 1 species
GAAUAACACUCUCUUUUUCUCUCUCCCUCUCUCUCUCUCUCUCUCUUUAUAUAUAUAUAUAAAUAUAUAUUUCUUUUUAUCUCUUUAAUGGUUAAUCGUUCUCACGCGAUUAACUUGUCGGUGAUUUUGAUUCUGUCGUUUACGAUUGUGCCCUUCGGUUAUCUUUCCAUCGAUUGUCAUUAUUCUCUAUGUAUCAAGCAAAUUCCAAUCAAGACUCUAAUCUUUCGAGGCUGUAAUCAAACGACGAGCCCUAGAUUCUGAAUCGACGUCAGUGAUUGACUCUGCGUAGAGAAACGAGGAUGUCUGUCCGCACAUACGUCGGAUUAAUUACUCCAGCGGUUAGUCGGCACACUACGCUCACUCGUGGCCAAGUUACCGGUAUAUAUACGGCUACACCGGCCUCCAAUUGCAGUUACUCGUGGCUGAUGCACCACAGGACGCAUCUCGAAACCCACACGCAGACGGCAACCCCGAAGCUUGCACUAGAAACACCCUCUGUAGCACUCCAGAGUACUCGAUCGCACUCACGUCGACGGAUCAUGAUGUUGCCAACGAGCACUGAUUCAAUAAGACAAUCCCGCUCGACGACGACACUCCUUGCAAAGUAUUCUACACGAUAACACACCGUUCCAACGAAGGAUUCACGUGUACGUCUAACUGGUCCUAGUCGUACACGGAUCUACUCGAUCGAUAUUCUAGGUUAAAUUUCCACGUUAUCAUCGCGCGCGAUUCUAGUCCACCAUAUUGUAUCACACUUACCAAUAGGCAAUUCGAAACCAUCGGGAUGGGAUUACUGUAAAUAUCGAUUCUCGAUUAAGGUGGAUAACCUCGAAAUUGCGAUUCGAUACUUCUCAGUCGAGAUUGAUUUCGCGCGUGAAACGCAUCGCAGUGGACCGACCGACGAACGUCACUGAUUGACAGUUUCGCGAACACGCGGCCGCUAGUGAAAUUUAAACGCGAAUCGGUCGUAUGGACCACCGUGAUCCGGCCUCGGAACACACGCUCGUUGAACUGUCGUUCGGAGCAGCUCGGCCCGCGGUUUAGUAUCAACGUUCGUUCUUGGCUGGCGUCGCGCCCCUCCCGGGACGCCGGUCGACGCCAAUCGAGUGCGCGUAUACCUACGUGCACGUACCUGCAAACCUGAGAGGAGAACCCACCUCUGCCUUUCUGCCUGAAUCUCGACUGCACGCACCUCUACGUGAUCCUGUAGUAUCGACUGGAGCAUGGCCUGAGGCUUCCUUCGAUGCGCCAUGAUUAAGACGUCCCUGGAUCCAAUGGACGGCGUGGACUGGAUUCGAGAAACCAAGGAACCGACAGGAGCUUGUGGACAAUCCUUGAUAAUAGUAAAUCGGGCAAUGUGUCAUAGACUAUGGGAUUUUGAUAACGAGAGAACUUGGUAACUAAUUUUUUAACGUCCUUAAUUUUUUUAGUGAUGGAAUAAUUACUAUUCCCUGUAAGUAAUGUUACCUUCCAUAUUUACAUGAUAUUAAUACAUGAAAAUGUAUCGUACGCGUAUGAAAAUAUUGCACAGAGGUAAUGUCUAUAGAAUCGUGUUCAAUAAUGCACAUUUAAUUACAAGCCGCAGGGCAUACGUACGUUAUUAGUAGCGCAAACGUGUUCAAAGAAUACCAAGCGGCUCUGAACGUUUUCGCGUGUUCUGCAUGACGAAUGACGUCUUGACGCCAAGGCGGUCUCGCUCGCGUCGCGUCGGCCGAAUGAAAAAAGCUUGACUCGUCACGAGAAGCACGUCGAGGCAACGCGGUCGCUCGGCAAUCGUCAAUAAAACCCGACUUUAAACCAGACCAGCGAUACCGUGAUCCAAUCACAAAUCAAUUUAUCUGCCAUCCGGCACAGGCACGAUAAAAAAUCUCACUACCGGGACGCAUUACCCUGUGGAUGUCCGUGAUACACUCGUCUAUUACGCUCCCGUAUUAAAAGUCGAUACAAUUUUUCGAUUGGCUACCGGUUCUCGGCGUGUACAAUAGGACUAAUAGAAACGUUUGUUCGCGUGCAUUUUUACGAUAGUCUGCCACGUACCCGAUCGAGUGCUCGGAAGUUAUCGUUCUAAUUUGAGAAAGUGCAUUGCGGUCAGUUUUCAACGAUCGAUUCCACCGAAAGCUUUAAAAGAGGAAAUACUAGAGA